UCAAACUGAGAAAAUAAGUUAAUUAGUUCCUCAUCUUGAAUGGCGACAAACAGAAUUUUAUCACUGAUCCCCUUGCAUGUAACAUACGUUUUUAUAAUCAUCCAACAACUGGGUUUUUUCCAGCAGUCACCUUAUUGUGGUGGAUUCAGGUAGAACAGGGAGCUGCCCACAUUUUUCAAACAAAGACAAUAAGACCUUCAAAUCUGCUCUGACCAGCUAAUUAGUCAUCUUUGCCUUUUGGGAUCAACCAGAACAAGAAUUAGUCUUUCAUGCUGAGACUUAGCUUUGACUUUUAAGUGUCUGCUGAAUUUUAAAGGAGGUUUCUUUCGCAAUUAAUGUUUAAGCCUUUAUUUGAGCAGCCUCGCUUUUACUCAGAUUUCUGCUUCACUUCAGCUUUUUCAGUAAAUUUGAAGCUGCUCUCUUUACAUUACAUUACAUUACAGAACAAACUUUUAUUCUUUACAAAUAAUUUUAGUAUAUGCUUGUGCAGUUUCUAAUAAGAGAAUGGUGUACUUAUGUUCACGACCAUCUCUAUGGCAACAUCCAAGCCGGCAACUUGGCUCAUUAUUUUUGAGCUGAAACUUAUGUUUUGCAAAAAGGCACAGGCAUUCUACAUUUCGCCUGCUUCCCUCAUCUGACUCGUGUGGUUCAGACCGAGGAGUGGACGCUUCACUGACACAGCUGGCUGGAUUUUGAGGCCCAGUUCUUCUGGUAACAGUGGAAUGAGGAGUGAAGUGAGCUUUGGGACAAACAUGAGUCACCACAAAACACCUCACUCAGUUCUCUUUCCUCUUUGCCACUUUCCACCCUCCGUUCCUCCUUUUUUUUUUUUUUUUCUUUACCGAUGUAUUUUCUGAAGAGCAACCUGGAUAGAGAAAUUAACGCCUCGUCUCGUCUUUUCAGUGGUUUUACUGUGUUGUAUUUAUUAUGGCCCAAGAAAAAAACAUUUCGACACUAAUUAAUCAACCAGUGCACUGAUGAUGUGAAAGUGACACAGAAGUGAGCAUUAAUUUCAAUAGAAACAUCUUUUUUCAGGUUUUGCUAAGUUUUUAAUGUUUUACUCUAACACAAAAAUGGUUCCUCUACAUGUCGUCAGCCUUUGCAGGAAUCGGCAGCCAAUGAUUCAUUUAUUUGAUUGAUGGUAUUUUUGAACCAAGAAAACAAGCAAACAGAACCUCUUAUGGUUUUCUUACAACAAUCAAGGGCACAGCAAAUAGUCAAAUGAAUUUCGCACUAGGGUGGCGCAACAGGAAGGGUUCAAAGCUUGGGAUAUUUUUGUUUAUAACGCUGCUUUAAACUCCACAACCAUAUGUGUUUUGGAGUUCAUGGUGGUGUUUGCCACACACAGUACAUGAUGAUGCUGACGAGGACACAGAACAGGGCGGAAUAUUGCAACAUUAUGAACCAGAAAGCUUAAUUCAGGUACAAUAUUCCAUUUUCAUCCAGCAAACAUUGUAUCUGUAACGUAGCAUUGUAAUUUAGACAGACGCUGGAAGCUUUGGUUCCCUAAUUCAGCUACAGAUACUGAAUUGAAUUUUACUUCUUGCAACUUAAUUGAAAGCAGUUGUGUUGUUUAUUAAUUAGCAAUGUAUUUUAAUCUGAACUGGUAUAACAUAUGAACAAAAUAAUAAAAUGUAACACCUUAAAAUCGACACACUUUUAGAAAAAUGUGGAACCGUAAGCAGAUAAGGAGCACCUUUGGAUCCCAGACAUCAGUCAAUAAUUUGAAUUAUAUCCCAUGAAAACUAUUAGCAUUUAAAGCACCAGUUUUACUCAGUUAUCAGACAUCUAAAGAGACAAAACAAUAGAGUAUUGAGCAUUAGUGAGUUGUUAUAGCUUUCUAUGCAGCAUUAAAUGUCACACCAACAUUAACUUUCAUAAUUUCCCAGGUUCUAUA